rnacentral:rRNA from 1 species
UCACUUUAGGAUGGACCCGCGGUGCAUUAGCUAGUUGGUAAGGUAACGGCUUACCAAGGCAAUGAUGCAUAGCCGAGCUGAGAGGCUGAUCGGCCACAUUGGGACUGAGACACGGCCCAGACUCCUACGGGAGGCAGCAGUAGGGAAUCUUCCACAAUGGGCGCAAGCCUGAUGGAGCAACGCCGCGUGAGUGAAGAAGGGUUUCGGCUCGUAAAACUCUGUUGUUAAAGAAGAACGUAUCUGAGAGUAACUGUUCAGAUAGUGACGGUAUUUAACCAGAAAGCCACGGCUAACUACGUGCCAGCAGCCGCGGUAAUACGUAGGUGGCAAGCGUUAUCCGGAUUUAUUGGGCGUAAAGGGAGUGCAGGCGGUUAUUUAAGUCUGAUGUGAAAGCCUUCGGCUUAACCGGAGAAGGGCAUCGGAAACUGGAUAACUUGAGUGCAGAAGAGGGUAGUGGAACUCCAUGUGUAGCGGUGGAAUGCGUAGAUAU